rnacentral:rRNA from 1 species
GGGGGAAACCCUGAUGCAGCGACGCCGCGUGAGCGAAGAAGUAUUUCGGUAUGUAAAGCUCUAUCAGCAGGGAAGAAAUUGACGGUACCUGAGUAAGAAGCUCCGGCUAAAUACGUGCC